rnacentral:rRNA from 1 species
GUGUCAGCAGCCGCGGUAAUACGGAGGGGGCUAGCGUUGUUCGGAAUUACUGGGCGUAAAGCGCGCGUAGGUGGUUUGCCAAGUCAGAGGUGAAAGCCCGGGGCUUAACCUCGGAAUUGCCUUUGAGACUGGCAGGCUUGAGUACGGGAGAGGUAAGUGGAAUUCCGAGUGUAGAGGUGAAAUUCGUAGAUAUUCGGAAGAACACCAGUGGCGAAGGCGGCUUACUGGACCGUUACUGACGCUGAGGCUCGAAAGCGUGGGGAGCAAACAGGAUUAGAUACCCUGGUAGUCCACGCCGUAAACGAUGAUAACUAGCUGUCCGGGCUCAUAGAGCUUGGGUGGCGCAGCUAACGCAUUAAGUUAUCCGCCUGGGGAGUACGGUCGCAGGAUUAAAACUUAAAUGAAUUGGCGGGG